rnacentral:lncRNA from 1 species
AACUGGAACUCUUUCUAGUCACUGUUUAAAUUAUCUAAUUUCCUGCUUCCUCUAUGUAGGUCAAUAAAGGGGGUCUUCCUACACAAGGUCUCUAGCACUAUCCCCUGGAUCUCUUCCAUAAAGAUCUGUUUUCACAACUUAGACAGACACCAGGAUUCUGUUAAUUACACACUCAGGAGAGAAUAUCUUGUUGUCGCCUAUGGAUGUAGGCAGCUGUGAACUGAUAAACAAAACCCAUGGCAGGAAUCUUAGCAGGAAUAUUGCUACCUAAAAAAUAUGACUGUGCUUCAUUAAUGAACUGAGCCCUUUUCUAGAUAAAAAGCUACAGCUUUUGAUGAUGACCAGUGGAGCUAUUCCCUAUAGGUCAAUGCAAUGCCUGGCAUACAUGCCUGAACUUGCCCGACAGCCUUUCUGGACAUAAAGGUCAUUCAUCCUCCAGGCAGAAGCAACCAGUAGCAGUGGUGAGUAAUUCUCUUUCUUUAAUGAUCUUCUUUCCUUUUCUAAUAUGAAUUGUAAUAGA